rnacentral:misc_RNA from 1 species
UCAAACUUGGUCAUUUAGAGGAAGUAAAAGUCGUAACAAGGUCUCCGUUGGUGAACCAGCGGAGGGAUCAUUACCGAGUUUAGUUACUCUCCUACCCUAUGCGAACAUACCUAUUUCAGUUGCUUCGGCGGGUGGUCCCAGGCCCUUCCGGGGGUCCGGGGCGCUCGCGCCCGCCGGAGGUUUUCUCAAACUCUGUUCUUGCGAAAGCAACGUCUCUCUCUGAGUGGUCUAAGCAAAUAAUCAAAACUUUCAACAAUGGAUCUCUUGGUUCUGGCAUCGAUGAAGAACGCAGC